CGUAGGUGAACAUGYGGAAGGAUCAUUA
rnacentral:rRNA from 1 species